rnacentral:ribozyme from 1 species
UGAAAAAAUGGGACUAAAAACCUAAACCUGUAAACUUUAUUUCAUACUCGUCCUCGAACUUUUUUUUUUUUUUUUUUUUU